UACGAAGGGAGCUAGCGUUGUUCGGAAUUACUGGGCGUAAAGGGCGCGUAGGCGGCUUCGAUAGUUGGGCGUGAAAUGCCUGGGCUUAACCCAGGAAUUGCGCUCAAUACUGUGAGGCUUGAGUGUGGGAGAGGAUAGUGGAAUUCCCAGUGUAGAGGUGAAAUUCGUAGAUAUUGGGAAGAACACCAGCGGCGAAGGCGGCUAUCUGGACCACAACUGACGCUGAGGCGCGAAAGCGUGGGGAGCAAACAGG
rnacentral:rRNA from 1 species